UGGGGAAUUUUGCGCAAUGGGCGAAAGCCUGACGCAGCAACGCCGCGUGGAGGAUGAAGGUGCUCUGCAUCGUAAACUCCUGUCGGCCGGGAAGAAGGCUCGGGGGAGUAACUGCCCCCGGGAUUGACUGUACCGGCAAAGGAAGCCCCGGCUAACUCCGUGCCAGCAGCCGCGGUAAUACGGAGGGGGCAAGCGUUACUCGGAAUUAUUGGGCGUAAAGGGCGCGUAGGCGGUCCAGUGCGUCGGAGGUGAAAUCCCCGGGCUCAACCCGGGAACCGCCUCCGAUACGGCUGGACUUGAGUCCGGGAGAGGGGAGCAGAAUUCCCAGUGUAGCGGUGAAAUGCGUAGAUAUUGGGAGGAAUACCAGUGGCGAAGGCGGCUCCCUGGACCGGUACUGACGCUGAGGCGCGAAAGCGUGGGUAGCAAACAGG
rnacentral:rRNA from 1 species